rnacentral:rRNA from 1 species
CAGCCGCCACGGUAAUACAGAGGGUGCGAGCGUUAAUCGGAUUUACUGGGCGUAAAGCGUGCGUAGGCGGCUUCUUAAGUCGGAUGUGAAAUCCCUGAGCUUAACUUAGGAAUUGCAUUCGAUACUGGGAAGCUAGAGUAUGGGAGAGGAUGGUAGAAUUACAGGUGUAGCGGUGAAAUGCGUAGAGAUCUGGAGGAAUACCGAUGGCGAAGGCAGCCAUCUGGCCUAAUACUGACGCUGAGGUACGAAAGCAUGGGGAGCAAACAGGAUUAGAUACCCCAGUAGUCCCUGUCUCUUAUAA